AAGAAUAUAAAUAAAACAGUAAGAGUAAGCAAGUUCUUCCAAGUUUUAUUGUAGGCCCAUUUAUUUUCUUCUUUUUGUUUUUUUUUUGAAAUCCUUUU
rnacentral:ribozyme from 13 species